rnacentral:misc_RNA from 1 species
UUUCCGUAGGUGAACCUGCGGAAGGAUCAUUAUUGUAUAACCGAGGUGCGAGGGUUGUCGCUGACCCGAAAGGUCGUGCACGCCCGAGUGCCCUCACACGCAUCCAUCUCACCCCUAUGUGCACCACCGCGUGGGUCCCCCUUUGGCUUGUUCGGAGGGGGGCUUACGUUUUCACACAAACUUUGUAUGCAGUGUAGAAUGUAUUUUUGUUUUUGCGAUCACGCAAUCAAUACAACUUUCAACAACGGAUCUCUUGGCUCUC